AGAAGCAGUAAAUGGCAUGAUUGCUAGGUGGAUGAGUGGAGUACAAAUAAAAAUAGGGCUGUAGAGGUGUAUUAUCGAGUGCUGUGUUCUCUGGCUGUCUUACACACUGCGUCUUGGUGUCUUUCAUGAUGUUCUUAUCUGCUUUAUGUUGAGCACUUAACAAACUACGUAAUGAAAAAGACCCACUUCAUCACCAUGAAAGAGCGGUCGUAUACAAAAUACCCAUUAAAUACAACAAGACAUAACAGCAGUCGACAUAUAUAGGAGUCACUACUAGGACAUUAACACAGAGAUUGGAAGAACAUAGAAAAGACUUUGCUAUGGGAAAACUAACCAUGGCUCUAGCAGUCAAAGCAUAUUACAAUAACAUAAAAAUAGAAUGGGAGCAAGCUAAGAUAAUUAAGCCAGUCACUAUAAAAUCUUAGGCAAUAAUGGAAGAGAUCAUUGAAAUAAUAAAGCGGCAAGAGAAAGACAAGCUCAUUAAUGAUAGACCAGCAGAGUUAUCAAUGCCAUGGGGAUAUCUAAUUAAAGAGAUAGAAAGGGCUCGACAUACAGCAGAUAAUAAGAACAUCAUGAAAGACCAUCGGGACGCAGUGUGUAAGAUGGCUGGGAAGACAGUAUUCAAUAGUGCACUUUUGUGGUUUUAUUUUUAUUUGUAUUUUAUUUAUCUACUUGGCAAUCAUGUUAUUUAUUG
rnacentral:lncRNA from 1 species